UGAUAGCAGUUGAAGAUAGCGGUUUAGAUGGUUAUGCUAUGUUUGAUUAUUGUCUCUUUCUUUCAUAGCGUUUGUGAAAUAUAAAACGCUAUAAUAUAUUGAGCGGCAAAAGUGAUGUGGUUCCCGCUUAAGAAUUUGGCUAUCCAUCUCUCUAUACAAAAUUUGGAAUGCUAUGGUAUGUUAACCGCGAAAAUAAAAUAAAAUAAAUUGAUGCCCGCCCAACUAAAAUUUUUUUGGGAUAUCUCAAAGGUAUGUGGUAAAAAAUUAGGGUUCACGUCUCUAUCUCUUUCCCAUUCGACACCUCUGUCUCAUUUCAAUUUUUCUUUUGGCAACUCUUGAUCCUCCAUCUCUAUCCCGAUAUCAACUCUCGAUCCUCCAUCUCUGUCCCGAUUUCUCAAUCAGACUCGUUACUCCAUCUCUGUCUCGAUCUCUCAAUUACAGUCAUGUUCCUCUUACUUUCAUUCUCGAUCUCAAUCUAUCUCCGUUUCGUUCCCUCUCAAUCGUCAUCUAAAGCGGUAAAUCGAAUUGGUGAGGUCGAAUUUGACACUGAAGUAAGAGCUCGGUGAGACUUCAGUUAAAGGCUGUCAUUGUUAUUUGAGUGUUUGAUCCUUUGAACUCUUUAUCACAAAUUGUAUACUCGGUGGUGGAGAUAUGGUUGUAUUGUUGUGAUAUGGACAAGGCAUGUGUUUGAGAGAGCUAGUGUCCUUAAAGGUAUCUCUAACCUCGUGUCUAAAUAUUGUUUGAGAGAGCUGAUGUUAUUUGGUUAUAAAUGCAGGCAAAUAUUGUAAGAACUGAUCGCAUUGAAUCUCUGAUUUUGGUUUCUCAUUGUGAAACAGGGUGAUACAUUCAACAAUUCUCAUUGCAUCACAGACUCAAGGCUCAAUACAUUCAACAAUCUUGGAGAGAUGUGAGAAUAUGAUCGAAUAUGUAAAAAGGCUUAGGCUUUGCAUUAGAUGGUUUCAAGAACUCGAGUUAGAUUACGUCUUUGAGCAAGAGAUGGAGGUUCAUGACAAAGUGAAUCAAACGAGAAAAAAUCUUGUUCGUCUUAGAGUUUUUAGGCUAUUAACUCGAUCUGCAACUUUUUAACUCAACCACAUAUAAACUUAAUUCUAUGUCAGAAGACGAGUUUAUGUUUCAAUAAUGUAUUUUUAUGGUUUUAAUUUUAUUGUAUAAAUCUCUGUCACA